GUUAUAAAGAACAUCCUGAUGAUCAGAGCUGUUUGACAGAGGAAUAUCUCAAAGCCUAGUAACCCAGUGGAGUCUCUGGAGGGGUUUCAACAGAGACUGGAUGGCCAUCUGUUGGGAGUGCUUUGAUUGGAUGUUCCUGCCUGGCAGAAUAGGGAUCUAUCCUAGAAACUCUAGGAUUCAAUGAACAUUGAGUCUAAGGACGUGAGCUUUGUCCAAAGAAAAAAGCAACCCCAUCCACCCGAGAGACACAUGGGGAAACAUGUUAUAUAGAAAUGCCGAAGCAUUUGUAACCAUAGAAAACAACUGUUGGAUGAAGAUAUGAUAUAUCAAUAGCACCUGGGUAAUGACUGUGUCAUGAUGCAAUACCUAAGGGUGUGUGGUAAUGGCCGGGUCAUAACCACGUAUGGGUAACUGCAAAGGGGUUGCAUCAGCCAUUGUCUCUUACUGAUGACCUAUCAAGGAAGAUGAAAGAAUCCAUCUUUCUCUCUCCCGUGUGACUCGGUCUUGCAGUGGUUCAGGGAGGUUGUGAUUUGGAAACUAGAAAUCACUUCUUGUACCAGCAUCCUGCGACAGGCAUGUGCUUCAUGAUGGGCAAGAGACCUCAGGUGGGAAGCCUUCUGGUAGAAAACACUGACCCGACUUCGCCCAGGCAGCUGCCUUUGCAUUAAUCCGGAGCUGAUGAAGACGGAUGAGCCAGAAGGAGCCAUAAACUUGCCUGCGUCGGCGUCAGGGUUUGUUAUUUUUCAACGAGGAAACAGCCAGAUACGGAGGAAAACGCUCAUCUCUUCACUGCUGUCAAGACGGAUUAACGUGGGGUUUCCAUGGCUCUGCCUGAGCCAGCCCUGGGGCCACAAGGAGACGUGAUCGAUUGCGAUCAAUUGCGCACGGACCCCUGUGCGCACCUGCUGGAGAGGCUCUUCCGAGAAACCGGCAGCCGAGGUCCCAAACAACACGCAAGAGACCUUUCUUUCUUGCCACAGCCGUCCCCUGCUACAUGUCCUAUAUCUAGAAAACAGAGAACGGUCGGCAUGGUUCGUCAAGGAGUGCACAGGUUUCAUUAGGCGCUAAUAAAUGUUGCUCCCACUGCAACAGAUUUCA